UACGAAGGGUGCAAGCGUUUACUCGGAAUUACUGGGCGUAAAGCGUGCGUAGGUGGUUUUGUUUAAGUCUGAUGUGAAAGCCCUGGGCUCAACCUGGGAAUUGCAUUGGAUACUGGCAGGCUAGAGUGCGGUAGAGGAUGGCGGAAUUCCCGGUGUAGCAGUGAAAUGCGUAGAGAUCGGGAGGAACAUCUGUGGCGAAGGCGGCCAUCUGGACCAGCACUGACACUGAGGCACGAAAAGCGUGGGGAGCAAACAGG
rnacentral:rRNA from 1 species